rnacentral:lncRNA from 1 species
GGUUCCCCCAUAGGAUCUCCAGGGAGCUGCAGUGACACCAGAGGAGGGCUACUGGAAAUGGCACCAGGACAUCGUAUUUGGUGCUACCUGGAGGAUGGGAUAAAGAUGGACACAAAGGUGAACCUGGCCUUGUCGUGGAUGAAUAUUGAAGAUAUGCUCAAGAGGAGACAGAAGCCAGAAGGGGUGCACCUGAGGGGGUGAUUCUGAGUAGGAUGGAGGCUGAGGCAGCUUGCCUGCACCCUGUGUGGGUAGGAGACCCCCCCCAACACACCCACCCACCCACAUCUCCCCUGACUGAUCCUGCCUCACAUCUAAGCAUCUUUGGAUGAUUCCGUUCCUUUUCACAUACCAGUUCUGGACAGGCUGUGGACAAACUGCCCAUCACCUAUGUGAAGCUGUGCACACCUCCACAAUAGGGUCACACAAUGAAGGAACAGUUACUUACGAAAAGAGAAGAAGACGCAUGAGGCAGGUGUUGGAGUAAAUCAUCAGAAGACAAGCUACAUGAGGGAAGCCUGCAGUCUCUGCGGCAACGGCUCCAUGCUGCCCAGGGGCUAGCUCAUGGUCUGGCUGGCUCGUUCUUCCUCAUUCCUUUGUUCUGACUCAACAUAAAUGGACUGGC